GGAUCCAGACUUUGAUCCUGGCUCAGGACGAACGCUGGCGGCGUGCUUAACACAUGCAAGUCGAACGAGAAGAGAUGAGAAGCUUGCUUCUUAUCGAUUCGAGUGGCAAACGGGUGAGUAACGCGUAAGCAACCUGCCCUCUAGAUGGGGACAACAGCUGGAAACGGCUGCUAAUACCGAAUACGUUCCUUCUGUCGCAUGGCAGAGGGAAGAAAGGGAGGCUCUUCGGAGCUUUCGCUGGAGGAGGGGCUUGCGUCUGAUUAGCUAGUUGGAGGGGUAACGGCCCACCAAGGCGACGAUCAGUAGCCGGUCUGAGAGGAUGAACGGCCACAUUGGGACUGAGACACGGCCCAGACUCCUACGGGAGGCAGCAGUGGGGAAUCUUCCGCAAUGGACGAAAGUCUGACGGAGCAACGCCGCGUGAACGAUGACGGCCUUCGGGUUGUAAAGUUCUGUUAUACGGGACGAAUGGUACGACGGUCAAUACCCGUCGUAAGUGACGGUACCGUAAGAGAAAGCCACGGCUAACUACGUGCCAGCAGCCGCGGUAAUACGUAGGUGGCAAGCGUUGUCCGGAAUUAUUGGGCGUAAAGGGCGCGCAGGCGGCGUCGUAAGUCGGUCUUAAAAGUGCGGGGCUUAACCCCGUGAGGGGACCGAAACUGCGAUGCUAGAGUAUCGGAGAGGAAAGCGGAAUUCCUAGUGUAGCGGUGAAAUGCGUAGAUAUUAGGAGGAACACCAGUGGCGAAAGCGGCUUUCUGGACGACAACUGACGCUGAGGCGCGAAAGCCAGGGGAGCAAACGGGAUUAGAUACCCCGGUAGUCCUGGCCGUAAACGAUGGAUACUAGGUGUAAGAGGUAUCGACCCCUUCUGUGCCGGAGUUAACGCAAUAAGUAUCCCGCCUGGGGAGUACGGCCGCAAGGCUGCAACUCAAAGGAAUUGACGG
rnacentral:rRNA from 1 species